rnacentral:rRNA from 1 species
CUUGGUCAUUUAGAGGAAGUAAAAGUCGUAACAAGGUUUCCGUAGGUGAACCUGCGGAAGGAUCAUUAACAAAUCAUUUGUAGACUCUGGAGGUAAAAACUUCAGACGACACACAUAAACCCGAACCUGUGCAGCAAUGCCAGGCAAGGUGUACGGUUUCGGCCGUACGGGAAAAGGUCCUUGGCCGUGAAAAGCCAGGAUCGGACCCCAAAUAGACGCUUGUAUGUUUGACAGAUUUUAGUUGACACUUUAAAAAUGACAACUUUUAACAAUGGAUCUCUUGGCUCUUGCAACGAUGAAGAACGCAGUGAAAUGCGAAACGUAAUGCGAUUUGCACGAAUCUGUGAGUCAUCAAGUCUUUGAACGCACCUUGCACCAUAUGAGCAAUUGUAUGGUAUACCUGUUUGAGAAUCGUAAAACAACCAUCAUCCCUUCUGGGGUGGAAUUGUCGGAUUCACAUGUCAUGUGUUCGAUCAAAUGAAUUAGGUUUGGAUCAGGCUAGUGGCCUGAGACACUGUGUGCUAGAGACUUAAGAAGCCUUUGCGGGCUGAUUGUCUUCUCAUGGUGCGUCUCAGGUCAAUUUAAAGCUAGCCUGCAAAGGACCUUUAACUGCGCUAGAGUUCUUCUCUAGGCAACCCCCCAAAUCAUUGAUCUCAAAUCAGGUAAGGCUACCCGCUGAACUUAAGCAUAUCAAUAAGCGGAGGA